rnacentral:lncRNA from 1 species
AGGGCUAGGUUGGGUAGUGGUCUGGGAAAGGGCUAGGUUGGGUAGUGGUGGCCUUGGACAGGCAUAGUUUGGGUAGUGGUCUGGGAAAGGGCUAGGUUGGGUAGUGGUCUGGGACAAGGCUAGGUUGGGUAGUGGUCUGGGACAAGGCUAGGUUGGGUAGUGGUGGUCUUGGACAGGGCUAGGUUGGGUAGUGGUCUGGGACAGGGCUAGGUUGGGUAGUGGUCUGGGACAGGGCUAGGUUGGGUAAUGGUCUGGGACAGGGAUAGGUUGGGUUGUGGUCUGGGACAGGGCUAGGUUGGGUUGUGGUGGUCUUGGACAGGGAUAGUUUGGGUAAUGGUCUGGGACAGGGCUAGGUUGGGUAGUGUUCUGGGACAGGGCUAGGUUGGGUAGUGGUGGUCUUCGACAGGGAUAGUUUGGGUAGUGGUCUGGGAAAGGGCUAGGUUGGGUAAUGGUCUGGGACAGGGAUAGGUUGGGUUGUGGUCUGGGACAGGGCUAGGUUGGGUUGUGGUGGUCUUGGACAGGGAUAGUUUGGGUAAUGGGCUAGGUUGGGUUGUGGUGGUCUUGGACAGGGAUAGUUUGGGUAAUGGUCUGGGACAGGGCUAGGUUAGGUAGUGGUCUGGGAAAGGGCUAGGUUGGGUAGUGGUCUGGGACAAGGCUAUGUUGGGUAGUGGUGGCCUUGGACAGGGAUUGUUUGGGUAGUGGUCUGGGAAAGGGCUAGGUUGGGUAGUGGUCUGGGACAAGGCUAGGUUGGGUAGUGGUCUGGGACAAGGCUAGGUUGGGUAGUGGUGGUCUUGGACAGGGAUAGUUGGGUAGUGGUCUGGGACAGGGCUAGGUUGGGUAGUGGUCUGGGACAGGGCUGGGUUGGGUAGUGGUCUGGGACAGGGCUAGGUUGGGUAGUGUUCUGGGACAGGGCUAGGUUGGGUAGUGGUGGUCUUCGACAGGGAUAGUUUGGGUAGUGGUCUGGGAAAGGGUUAGGUUGGGUAAUGGUCUGGGACAGGACUAGGUUGGGUAAUGGUCUGGGACAGGGUUAGUUUGGGUAAUGGUCUGGGACAGGGCUAGGUUGGGUUGUGGUGGUCUUGGACAGGGAUAGUUUGGGUAAUGGUCUGGGACAGGGCUAGGUUGGGUAGUGGUCUGGGAAAGGGCUAGGUUGGGUAGUGGUCUGGGACAAGGCUAGGUUGGGUAGUGGUGGCCUUGGACAGGGAUAGUUUGGGUAGUGGUCUGGGAAAGGGCUAGGUUGGGUAGUGGUCUGGGACAGGGCUAGGUUGGGUAGUGGUCUGGGACAGGGCUAGGUUGGGUAGUGGUGGCCUUGGACAGGGCUAGGUUGGGUAGUGGUCUGGGAAAGGGCUAGGUUGGGUAGUGGUCUGGGACAGGGCUAGGUUGGGUAGUGGUGGCCUUGGACAGGG